rnacentral:rRNA from 1 species
GACCAGACUCCUACGGGAGGCAGCAGUGGGGAAUAUUGCACAAUGGGGGAAACCCUGAUGCAGCGACGCCGCGUGAGCGAUGAAGUAUUUCGGUAUGUAAAGCUCUAUCAGCAGGGAAGAAGAUGACGGUACCUGACUAAGAAGCCCCGGCUAACUACGUGCCAGCAGCCGCGGUAAUACGUAGGGGGCAAGCGUUAUCCGGAUUUACUGGGUGUAAAGGGAGCGUAGACGGCGAUGCAAGCCAGAUGUGAAAGCCCGGGGCUCAACCCCGGGACUGCAUUUGGAACUGUGUGGCUGGAGUGUCGGAGAGGCAGGCGGAAUUCCUAGUGUAGCGGUGAAAUGCGUAGAUAUUAGGAGGAACACCAGUGGCGAAGGCGGCCUGCUGGACGAUGACUGACGUUGAGGCUCGAAAGCGUGGGGAGCAAACAGGAUUAGAUACCCCUGUAAA